AUGUCUGGUCAAAGAAUCCUCUUUUAUUACAGACUUUUGAAAUGCAAGAGAGAGGAUGCAUGCUACAGUCCUUUACAUUCGCUUCACCCAAUUGGUCUAGCUGUUUGCAGUUGUAGCAGCGAAGCCUUAUCUCGUCUGCAUAUGAUGUUCAAAAAGGGCCUGCUGGAAGAUCCAAGUCCAGUCUGCACUCUUGAAGCACCUGCUGUGCAGGAGGUGAAUGUUGACAGAAGGGAAGCUGAAUGGACUCAAUCAACACGCAUGGAGAAGAUGGGUGCAGUGGUGAGAGAUAUGCAGCCUGUUGCUGAAGGACUGGAUGAAAUCAUCGUUCAGGGGUUGAUAGUCUGCAAAAGCUUCAUAGACUCUGUACAAUAUAAGGAGGUUGUGCAGAUGGAAGUUGUUUUAUAUGUACCUCAUAAUAAUUUUCUUAGUAAAACAAGCAGACUCUUGCUGUUCCUUCAUGAAAUAAAAAUGGGCUAG
ensembl:lncRNA